rnacentral:rRNA from 1 species
UACAGAGGUCUCGAGCGUUAGGCGGAAUCACUGGGCUUAAAGCGUGUGUAGGCGGAUCGGUAAGUACCUUGUGAAAUCCCACAGCUUAACUGUGGAACUGCUUGGUAUACUGCUUAUCUUGGGCCAUCUAGGGGCGAGCGGAACAAACGGUGGAGCGGUGAAAUGCGUAGAUAUCGUUUGGAACGCCAAUGGUGAAAACAGCUCGCUGGGGAUGUGCCGACGCUGAGACACGAAAGCCAGGGGAGCGAACGGG